UUAACUUGUUAAUCAUAGAAAUGGCUCUCUAAAAAAGUACACUAGAAACAUCCGGACAUAGGGUUAUAAUUAAAAAUGAAACCAAGCCAGCCUUCCCUAAAAGAAGUAAAAAUCUUAUUUCAAACUUACAGUAUAGCUGAUAAUAAAGUGAAAUUGCUAGCAUGCAUAGGUAUUAUGAAGUCUUGGGAUUUGGUCUUUAUCACUGACCAUCUGG
ensembl:misc_RNA